rnacentral:lncRNA from 1 species
CCGUGGCUGCGAUCUGUGGGUCCUGCAGUGAGCCACUUGUACCACUCGCGCGCUCGGCUGCGCACGCUGCCCAAACGCGAGUCGGCGAUGACGUCGUCAAUGGGAAAGAGAGACACGCCAGUGCCGCAAGGGUCGGGCACAGUGCGCAGCUGUUCGCCGAUACCGCGCCAACGCGCCCAGAGGGGCUGGGAAAAGAGAAGACGCACUAGACCUUCCAUCAGGCGCGAGAGCACCGUAGCGCGUGCGUCGCGGCCUCCGAGCGCAACGCACGCGCGCACAUAGUCGGCGGCAGUCGGUGUGGCCCCCUCGGCAACUUUUAAAAAGUGACAUGCGUGCGCGAGUCUCGGCAAGAGACUGUCGAGCACCAUGGCCUGCUGUCGACUCGCCGCCGCCAGACGCAACGCCGACUGGGGGUCGCAUUCCACCAAAUGCCAGGAGACGGCGCACUGCAAUUCAACGGCAAUGACGCACUCAUAGUCGUACAUGCGGUCGGUGCGUGACUUCUCCUUGUUGAUGGUUAUCGUAUGUGUUGUGUGCAUGGAUUCCGCUCAGCGGCUAUAGUCACAAAGCACCCAACAGGAGCGGCCCCAUGAGCACGAUCUUUUUCUAUUCGGCGCUGCCAAAUGGGCACGCCACUGGCGCCACGAGGCAACCCCGGUCUCCCGCGCCGAUUAAAAUAUGAUGCGCUUUCUUGUCCGUGCGUCCCACAGCCGACAAACUCUCAAAUUGGGGCAAAAACAAAGUCAUAAAAAUGUCAAGAUAUCGUCCC